GUAGUAACUCUGCCUGUAGCUCCUCCGGGGGCUACUGCCGGUCCCAAGCCUGGAUAAAGGAGGAGGAUUGG
ncrna:Schistosoma mansoni type-P1 twister ribozyme